AGCUUUGCACAGUGGCAGUAUCGUAGCCAAUGAGGUUUAUCCGAGGCGUGAUUAAUGCUAAUUAAAGUACACAAAUUAAUGAAUCUCUUCAGUCAAGAAUUUUUACAUUUAAGACUCAUCCAGAGGCAGAUUCAUUUA